rnacentral:rRNA from 1 species
CAAGGUUUCCGUAGGUGAACCUGCGGAAGGAUCAUUAUCGAAUGAAUUCUUUGUGAAUUAUCUGUUCUGGUCGUUGCCGAGCGGCGCAAGCCGAGCGGUGACGUACUGAUGCUUACGCAUAAUGCUUGGCGUGCUCUAGAGUGCCGAUCGGUUCGCAGGACCAGGUGGGGGUCUGAGCCUUCCUACUCGGCGUACGCGUCAAGUAUAAUAUUUUCUACCGGUGAGGUACCUAAAUGCACUCGCUUGCUACUGUCGUUGCCAUGCAGUGGCGCAAAGGCGAGGCGCAAGUGCCAGACUCGUGCACUGAUACGCGAGUCGAGAGCGCAAGGUUCAAAGAGUUGGGCUCGAGCUGGCUGUUGUUCAUUACUUCAGCUGGCUGGCACUCGUGCACUUCGGUGUGCGAGCGUCCCCAUCAUGAGACCGGCCGCCUCACACUUUCUCUUUAUUGAAUUGCUCGUUAUAUUGAAACUAUACUGAAUACGGGAUAAGAAAUACAACUCUAGGCGGUGGAUCACUCGGCUCGUGCGUCGAUAAGAGCGCAGCAAACUGCGGAAGUUGUGUGAAUUGCAGGACACCUUGAUCAUCGACAUCUCGAACGCACCUUGCGGCCGAGGUUUCUAGCCUCGGCCACGUCUGUCUGAGGGUCGGCUUACUCUUAGGAGUAACCACACUGUAAUGUGGUUUGUUCGGAGGUUCACAUCUGGUCCUCGUGAGCAGAUGCCUCUGUAAAUUGUUGAACUGCGCCAGUCGGACUGCGUCGUUGCUCAUGCGCGGACUGAUAUUGACUUGUUGGUGCGUUGGCUUGUCUCUGUCGUUGCUUCUAGCAGAGAACUCCGCUUUCAUUGGUGGAGGUGCUAACGUCACUGCUCCGAGUCACGGUGCAACUAGACACUCAAAUCACGGCCUCAGAUCAGGCGAGAUUACCCGCUGAACUUAAGCA